rnacentral:lncRNA from 1 species
UUUUUAUUUUUUUAGUUUCUUUCUCACAAGUUUCAUUGCUUUUAUAAUCAUAAAUAAAUCAAGAACAGUUUAUGUGUAAAACUUCAAAUCUUUACCUUCCAUUUCUUGAAAUUAGUUUUGGGAAAAAGAAAAGGACGAUGAGGUGAAGGGAGGCGAGGAGAAGUUACAACACAGAGAAAAGGAAAUAAUGUUGGUUUGCUAAU